ACCUAAUAAGACUGUAAAAGAAAAGUUGAGGACAAGUUAUGAUACAUUAGAAUAUAAGGAGCAGCAGAUGUUUCUAGACAUUGCAUGUUUUUUCAUUGGAACUGACAAAAGAAUUGCUACUUACCUAUGGGAGGAUCUCAAAUUUUUCCCAAUAAUCGGAUUGCAAGUGCUGAUUCACCGUUCAUUAAUAAAAAUUGAUGACAAUAAUCAAUUGAGAAUGCAUGAUCAAUUAAGAGAUCUAGGAAGAGCUAUCGCCCGUCCAGAAGAUGUGAAGCCUUGGCAUUGGAGCAGACCAUGGGACGUGGAAACCACGAAAAUUCUAGGACGCAAGGAGGAAAAUGAAAAUAUUGAGGCACUAUGUUUGGACGAAAGGGGUUCCAGAGAGUUCAUAAAGCAAGAGAGCUUCAAAAAAAUGCCUAACUUGAAGUUCCUUCAUGUGAAGGAUGUGGACUUUGAUGGAGAUUUCGAAGGAUCACUUGCUGAAUUAAGAUGGCUAAAGUGGGAGAGAUGUCGCGACUCUUUUGAAGGCGACCAACUUUCAUUUGGAGAAAUUAGUCGUACUUGAUUUAUCUGGUGAUCUUUACGUCGUGGAAGCGGUAUUAGUGAAAAUUGGAGAGGAUGGAGUUCAAUUAAGAUGGAGAGGUUGAAAGUACU